rfam:Anolis carolinensis chromosome Tnknown cont2.37036, whole genome shotgun sequence.
CAGGGCUAAAUACGCUAAAAGCAUCAGACCCCAUAGGAUUUUGGAAGCUAAGCAGGGUCAGCCCUGGUUGGUACUUGGAUGGGAGACCGUGAAGGAAAACCAAAGGAAGAGCCUGGA